UCCGAGUUGUCCCCGGCAGUCUCCUAUGAGUCCCCGACAUUACUCGCUGGCAACAUAGGACGAGGGUUGCGCUCGUUGCGGGACUUAACCCAACAUCUCACGACACGAGCUGACGACAGCCAUGCACCACCUGUAUACGGCCCCGAAGGACACCAUAUCUCUAUGGCUUUUCCGUAUAUUUCAAGCCCUGGUAAGGUUCUUCGCGUUGCAUCGAAUUAAACCACAUGCUCCACCGCUUGUGCGGGCCCCCGUCAAUUCCUUUGAGUUUCAGCCUUGCGGCCGUACUCCCCAGGCGGGGCGCUUAAUGCGUUAGCUGCGGCACGGAGGACGUGGAUAGUCCCCCACACCUAGCGCCCAACGUUUACGGUGUGGACUAC
rnacentral:misc_RNA from 1 species